CGUUAUGGCGGGUUGCGCAGGAGCACCCUCGGGUGCGCCGGUCUCCUUGUACGCCGGUCCGCCAAUCCUGUGCAAUCCGCCACCCUA
rnacentral:antisense_RNA from 24 species